rnacentral:rRNA from 1 species
AUAUGGACAAUGGGCGAAAGCCUGAUCCAGCCAUGCCGCGUGAGUGAAGAAGGUCUUCGGAUUGUAAAGCACUUUAAGUUGGGAGGAAGGGGUUGAAGCUAAUACCUUCAAUCUUUGACUUUACCAACAGAAUAAGCACCGACUAACUCUGAGCACGCAACCGCGGUAAUACAGAGGGUCCAAGCGUUAAUCGGAAUGACUGGGCGUAAAGCGCGCUUAGGUCGUUCAGUAAGAUGGAAGUGAAAUCCCCGGGCUUAACCUGGGAACUGCUUUCAUAACUGCUGGGCUAGAGUACGGUAGAGGGUAGUGGAAUUUCCUGUGUAGCGGUGAAAUGCGUAGAUAUAGGAGGGAACACCAGUGGCGAAGGCGACUACCUGGACUGAUACUGACACUGAGGUGCGAAAGCGUGGGGAGCAAAC